AUGGACAGCAGGCUCUCCUUCUGGGUGAUCCUGGGUCUCCUGAGAGCAGGACACAUGGAACCUGGAGUCCACCAAACUCCUCGCCACUAUGUGAUAGAGAUGGGACAGGAUGCAACUCUGAGGUGUAAGCCCAUUUCUGGUCAUCUUUACCUCUACUGGUACCGGCAGACCCCAGAAAAAGGAGUGGAGUUUCUGAUUUCUUUUACUGACAAAGCUGUUUCAGACAAGGCAGACUUUUUCAACGAUCGAUUUUCAGCUGAGCCGCCUGACGGGUCAUCCUCCACCCUGAAGAUCAGAACUGCACAGCUGGGAGACUCAGCCAUUUAUCUGUGUGCCAGCAGGCCAGCAGGGAUCCAGGCCGAAAGGAGGGUCUGA